AUUGAACGCUGGCGGCAGGCUUAACACAUGCAAGUCGAACGAGUGGCGGACGGGAGAGUAAUGCCUGGGACUCUACCUUAUGGAGGGGGUUAACUACGGGAAACUGUAGCUAAUACCGCGUACCAUAGGAUGAGCCCCAGUGGGAUUAUCUGGUUGUUGGGGUAAAGGCUCACCAAGCCGACGAUCCCUAGCUGGUCUGAGAGGAUGACCAGCCACACUGGAACUGAGACACGGGCCAGACUCCUACGGGAGGCAGCAGUGGGGAAUAUUGCGCAAUGGGCGCAAGCCUGACGCAGCCAUGCCGCGUGAAUGAAGAAGGCCUUCGGGUUGUAAAGUACUUUAAGUGGGGAGGCGUUAACUGCAGAAGAAGCACCGGCUAACUCCGUGCCAGCAGCCGCGGUAAUAC
rnacentral:rRNA from 1 species